CCAGACAAGUACAAUUUCUAAUGUGAUGAAAUAAAUUAAAAGCAACACAUCUUCAGGGGAAUCAGGUGAAUGGCAGACUGUAUAUAAAUGAACCACACGGAGCCACUCCUCUUGUCUAUGUUACGUUCACUUCCUCUUUAAACCAGACUCACUUCUAACUCCACUUUUCAUUCAUGACUUUAGAGAAACUCAGAUCUCAUCAUGAUGAUUAGAUUUCUCUUUUGCUCUUUCCUCACAGCAGGUAUUUCUCUGGGACUUCAGGUCCACCAGUCUCCCUCCGCUCUCAUCAGAAAGGCUGGUGACGCUGUGCAGCUCGUCUGUACCCACGGACAGACCGACUACACAGGGAUGCUGUGGUACCAGCAGUCACCCACAGACCAGGCUCUAAAACUCAUCGGAUAUGUGGCUUUACUUAAUUUUGCUGCCAAACCAACCAACCAGCUGACAGCAGUGAAAACAUAACCUCUUUUGUGGAGCAAAGCAGAGACUGGAGCUGGUUCUUCAUAUUCAACAUGACGCCACCUCAUCUCAUCACAUCCAUCAUCACUGUGUUCUGGAUUAAGGGUGUUUACCUCAGUAAAGAAAAAACAGUGUUUCAGACUCCAGCCGACCUGUUGAUGAAACCAAAUGGUGAAGUCAACCUGAGAUUAACACAUCAAAUCCCGAGCUAUGACACGAUUCUCUGGUACCAGCGCUCAGCAGGAGACAGUUCCCUGAAGCUGAUUGGCUAUGUUUCUUAUAAAAGACCUACUAUUGAGCCAAAUUUUCCAAGCCGCUUCAAUGUGAGUGGAAAUGGAGAGAGAACAGCUUUUCUUCAAAUCAAGAACCUGAAGCACCCUGAGGACAGUGGAGAAUAUUUUGGAGCAGCAAGAAUACACAGUAAUAAAGACGGAGAGAGCCGUCGUUCAAAAACCUCCAUAACAGAUGCAGCAGAUAACAGCACGAAAAACCACGACACAGCUUCAGAGCUGAGAGAAACACAGCGGAUCAGACUCCAGAAAACACACAAGAAACAAUU